UGCUUUUAUGAGCUGUAACACUCACCGCGAAGGUCCGCAGCUUCACUCCUGAAGCCAGCGAGACCACGAGCCUACUGGGAGGAACGAACAACUCCCGACGCGCCGCCUUAAGAGCUGUAACACUCACCGCGAAGGUCUGCAGCUUCACUCCUGAGCCAGCGAGACCACGAACCCACCAGAAGGAAAAAACUCCGAACACAUCUGAACAUCAGAAGCAACAAACUCCGGACACGCCGCCUUUAAGAACUGUAACACUCACUGCGAGGGUCCGCGGCUUCAUUCUUGAAGUGAGUGAGACCAAGAACCCACCAGUUCUGGACACAAUUUCAAGUCCUCAGGGUGCCAUCAAUAUUCUGAAAAUGGCAGUGAUUUUUAUUCAACCUGUAUAAGGCACUUUCACCAUGUACCUGGAAGCAACAUCUACAUCUUUUUCAGGCAAUCUAGAUGCUGGGGACACAAGGUCCACCUUCCAGGAAUAUGGCCAUGACACCAGAAAUCACAAACAUGAUGAGAAUGGAAUGACUGGGGAAGAAGUGCCAGAUGCUUCACUUGUAAAUGAAGACCCAGCCUCUGGGGAUGCAGAUACCACCUCCCUGAAGAAGCUGAAUAUCUGCAGAUAAGUGGAGUUCACCAAUGAUGAGGAGCGGGAUGGAGAAAGGAGGUAGGGAGAGUCAUCCAAGGAACAUGAGCAACAUGUUAAAAGGCCAAGUGGUUUAAUUUCUGGAGAUGGUGAACCCAAGAGGCUCUGCUGGGAGACAACAAAAAUAAUGAAGGAAUUGAACCAGAGUCCGGUGAAUAUCAGCACUGGGACCAGUUAGCAGAGGAAAAGGAAAGAAUAAAAGCGAAAAGAAUGAAGAGUCAUAUGAUUACCAACUUUUCCUUUUUCAUAUAAAUUGAGUGUAUAUGGGUCUGGAACAACCUGAAUUUCCAUCAAGUCCUGGCUAACCUCAUUAUGUCCUAUGAAUAUUUUUGACUAAUCCCACUUUACAUUAAUCUGUAUUGUGAAUGUGGAUAUUGAAUUAUAUUUCUUUGUAAUCCCAUUAUCCAAAAUCCAGUUCAGAGACUAUUAGUUACCAAUGUUCACUGUGAAGGAAAAAAAAAAAAAAAAAGCUCAGAGGAUAAACAUGUGAUAUGGUUUGGCUGUGUCCCCACCCAAAUAUCAUCUUGAAUUGUAGCUCCCAUAAUUCCCACGUGUUGUGGGAGGGACCCGGUGGGAGAUAAUUGUAUCAUGGGGGUGGUUCCCCCAUACUAUUCUCAUAGUAGUGAAUAAGUCUCACAAAAUCUGAUGGUUUUAUGAGGGAAAACCCCUUUCACCUGGUUCUCAUUCUCUUCUCUGGUCUGUCGUCAUGUAAGACAUGCCUUUCACCUUCUCCACCAUGACUGUGAGGCCUCCCCAGCCACGUGGAACUGUGAGCCCAUUAAACCUCUUUCACUUAUAAAU
rnacentral:lncRNA from 1 species